rnacentral:rRNA from 1 species
UACAGAGGGGGCGAGCGUUGUUCGGAAUUACUGGGCGUAAAGCGCGUGUAGGCGGUUGCCCAAGUCGGGUGUGAAAGCCUUGAGCUCAACUCAAGAAAUGCACUCGGUACUGGGUGACUAGAGGACCGGAGAGGAUAGUGGAAUUCCCAGUGUAGUGGUGAAAUACGUAGAGAUUGGGAAGAACACCAGUGGCGAAGGCGGCUAUCUGGACGGUUUCUGACGCUAAGACGCGAAAGCGUGGGGAGCAAACAGG